rnacentral:rRNA from 1 species
GAUGAACGCUGGGGCGUGCCUAAUACAUGCAAGUCGAGCGAACGGACGAGAAGCUUGCUUCUCUGAUGUUAGCGGCGGACGGGUGAGUAACACGUGGAUAACCUACCUAUAAGACUGGGAUAACUUCGGGAAACCGGAGCUAAUACCGGAUAAUAUUUUGAACCGCAUGGUUCAAAAGUGAAAGACGGUCUUGCUGUCACUUAUAGAUGGAUCCGCGCUGCAUUAGCUAGUUGGUAAGGUAACGGCUUACCAAGGCAACGAUGCAUAGCCGACCUGAGAGGGUGAUCGGCCACACUGGAACUGAGACACGGUCCAGACUCCUACGGGAGGCAGCAGUAGGGAAUCUUCCGCAAUGGGCGAAAGCCUGACGGAGCAACGCCGCGUGAGUGAUGAAGGUCUUCGGAUCGUAAAACUCUGUUAUUAGGGAAGAACAUAUGUGUAAGUAACUGUGCACAUCUUGACGGUACCUAAUCAGAAAGCCACGGCUAACUACGUG